AUGGAGAACGGACAGCCGCAGCCUCCUCCAGGCUACCCGACGGUGGACCCGAAACAGCAGGCCGGCGGCAGGAGGAAAUGCUGCUGCGGGCCGUGGCGCCGCAGGACCAAGCCUGCGCGUGGGCGUGGGGAGACCAGUUUCAUCGAGGGAUGCCUUGCCGCGCUCUGUUGCUGCUGGCUUUGCGAGCUGUGCUGCGAUUGA
rnacentral:rRNA from 1 species